GGUAGUCCACGCUGUAAACGAUGUCGAUUUGGAGGUUGUUCCCUUGAGGAGUGGCUUCCGGAGCUAACGCGUUAGAUCGACCGCCUGGGGAGUACGGCCGCAAGGUUAAAACUCAAAUGAAUUGACGGGGGCCCGCACAAGCGGUGGAGCAUGUGGUUUAAUUCGAUGCAACGCGAAGAACCUUACCUACUCUUGACAUCCAGAGAAUUUAGCAGAGGUGCUUUAGUGCCUUCGGGAACUCUGAGACAGGUGCUGCAUGGCUGUCGUCAGCUCGUGUUGUGAAAUGUUGGGUUAAGUCCCGCAACGAGCGCAACCCUUAUCCUUUGUUGCCAGCGAUUCGGUCGGGAACUCAAAGGAGACUGCCGGUGAUAAACCGGAGGAAGGUGAGGAUGACGUCAAGUCAUCAUGGCCCUUACGAGUAGGGCUACACACGUGCUACAAUGGCGUAUACAAAGAGAAGCGACCUCGCGAGAGCAAGCGGAACUCAUAAAGUACGUCGUAGUCCGGAUUGGAGUCUGCAACUCGACUCCAUGAAGUCGGAAUCGCUAGUAAUCGUAGAUCAGAAUGCUACGGUGAAUACGUUCCCGGGCCUUGUACACACCGCCCGUCACACCAUGGGAGUGGGUUGCAAAAGAAGUAGGUAGCUUAACCUUCGGGAGGGCGCUUACCACUUUGUGAUUCAUGACUGGGGUGAAGUCGUAACAAGGUAACCA
rnacentral:rRNA from 1 species